AAUCAUUCACGACUUUUCACGCGUGGCGGCGCUGCGGUUCCAUAAGUGGUUACUUGAACGCUUCAAUCACGUAAAACGCUUGCAUCUGUAUUUACAACGUAAACAAUGGCAUCCGAUGAUGACAUCACCUGGUCUGUUCCAGAACUAACGUUACGUGGAGCUGUCACAAGAGACAGAAAUAUAGAUCUUAUAGAAAGAAUCAAUUAGAAGAGCCAAAAUUUAUAAGCUUAGAUUCAAAACAUUCUGGAGGAGCAGAUUGUGUGAAGAAGCCAGCAGAAGUCAAGAGAAAUAAAAAGAAUGGAACAAAAGAAAAAUUGAAAACGAACAGUGAAAUGACAAAAUUAAAUAAAAUUUUUGCAUUUCUUAUUGUUGUUGUUAUCUUGUGUAUUGUUGACCAAGACAGCUAAGAAAACCAUCGAAAAGCUGUUCAGACAGAAAAUGACAGAUACUACACAUGAUCAAACAAAAGAUAAAAAAAAACACUUCUAAGAAAAAAUUUGUUCAAUGCUGGACCAAAUGAAAUGCAUGAGGAUAUUUAUAAUCUGAAAAAAUUAAUACCUCUAUGUAAGUGAAACAAAUUAUGCGGUAUGGGCUUUGCUCAUUGUUGAAGGCUGUACGGUGACCUAUAGUUGUAAUUAUUUCUGUGUCAUUUGGUCUCUUGUGGAGAGUUGUCUCAUUGGCAAUCAUACCACAUCUUCUUUUUCAUAUGUGUUCAGUGCAAAAUACAAAAAAAUGGACUAUUCAAUAAAAUUGAUAUCUAAGACCGGGGAUAUUGCGGUUUGUCAAUGAGACAUCAACCCGACAAAAAUAGCCAAAAUAUAUGUAGAUUAAGCCGGCAUCAACAGCAUGCAGACAAAUGUAAAAGGAGAUGUGGGGUAAAGAUCAGUAUGACGGCAGUUGUUUUCUCAAAUGUGGAUCCAGGAUUUUGAAUCUAGAUAAAGUGAUCCCCCCACU